rnacentral:lncRNA from 10 species
CUACGUGCUGCCUGGCAUGUGCACUCUGCCAGGUCCCUGGAGGGCACUGCUGUCUCUCACUUGCUCAGGGUUCAGGAGUUGUUAAUCCCGGAUUCAGAUAAUAAUAUCCAAAGGCAAUCAGGGGACAUUGAACCAGCUGGAGCUGAAGGCUCCUCUCUGUGGGCCUUGGAAGGAGGGGCCUCUGCAUUCCUCCGCCUGCCAUAGGCUGGGCCUGCAGCAAGUGCUCAACUACAGUGGGAAGAAUGGCUGAGUGAAGGAGAGACCCUCCCAGACUACAAUGCAAACAAAUAACAAAGAAGGAGGAGGAGAAUCAAUAUGGAUUGGUUCACAGGACCCACAGCAGAGGGACAGCUGGGUCUUUGAGUGAAGAGCUAAACAGUGGUGAUGUCUGAAUGGUCUUGA